GGCAACUUGCUCCGGUCCCCUUCCACAGUGUGUAAGCUUUGUUCUUUUGCUCUUUGCAAUAAAUCUUGCUACUGCUCAGUCUUUGAGUCUACAUUGCUUUUGUGAGCUGUAACACUCACUGCAAAGGUCUGCAGCUUCAUUCCUGAAGCCAGUAAGACCACAAACCCACCAGAAGGAAGAAACUCCGAACACAUCUGAACAUCAGAAAGAACAAACUCCAGACAUGCCACCUUAAGAGCUAUAACACUCACCGUGAGGGUCCGUGGCUUCAUUCUUGAAGUCAGUGAGACCAAGAACCCACCAAUUCCGGACACAAGCUAAGAUCACACCACACUGCAUCCCAGCCUGGCAACAGAGCGAGACUGUCUCAAAAAAAAAAAAAGGCCGGGUGCCGUGGCUCACCUUUGUAAUUCCAGCACUUUGAGAGGCUGAGGAGGGUGGAUCACCUGAGGUCAGGAGUUCAAGACCAGCCUAGCCAACAUUGUGAAACCCCGUCUCCACUAAAAAUACAAAAAAAUUAGCCAGAUGUGGUGGGCGCCUGUAAUCUCAGCUACUCAGGAGGCUGAGGCAGGAGAAUCGCUUGAACCUGGAGCAGGGCUGGAUGGGGGGUAGAGGUUGUAGUGAGCUGAGGUCAGGCCACCACACACAAGCCUGGGCAAUAAGAGUGAAAUGCCAUCUCAAUAAAUAUUGUGUUUGGUUCUUGAGUAACAAAAACUCAAUACAAUGGCCUAACUUCAUAGGUGUUUAUUUUUCCCAGUUAUGAAGAAGACUUGAGCAGGCAGUCCAGAGCUGAUACAGCUGCUCCAAUCACCAGAGAUGCAAUCUCCUGCUAGAUGUCUUCACAUCUACCUUUCUAUGUCACAUGUGCAAGAUGGUUGCUCUGCCUUCAGACAUCACAUUUACAUUCCAGGCAGAAAGGAGAAGGAAAGAGCAAAAGAUGUGUUCCGAACAAAUCCAUCUUAAAAACAAACAAGGGGAGGGGUAGCAGGAGAAAAUUUAAAAAGAAGAAGAAGAAAAACAAAAACAGGAAAGCCGUUGUUUCCCUAAAAGCCCCAUCAAGCCGACUUCUACCGGUGACUCAUUACCCAGUCAUGUGGCCACCCCUGGAUUCAAGGCAGUCUGAGGAGGUGAGUGUUUCAAAGAGGCACAUGGAUGCCACAGACAAAAUCAAGUUUCCAUGGUUGAAGGAGAAGAGGACGAUAGAGUUUGGGGAGGCAGCAGGCUACGUCUGCCACAGAAGAUAUAAAGAUAUGGAGCCACACGAGAAGAUGGGGGAGGCUGCCAAAAAAGUCCACUGGGUACAGGUGAGGAGCAGGUGACAUUGGAGUUGCUCCAUCUGAGGAGCCCGCACCUGCAAUGGCUUGUGCUCCUGCUCCUGUGGGUAUAGGCACAAGGCUGAUGCCGAGAGAGUGAGUUGUUUCUGUUGGGGUUCAGAACACAAUACCCCAAAGUAUGGCGAUGAGUACUUAACUAAAGGACAUUGGAAGGCCUCAGAAGCAGCCUCAGAUCCAAGGUCCCUCUGACCUGCUCCUGCCCUCCUGUCUCUCUCGUCCCUCGUUCUCCCCUGAAGUGAGUCAUAGAAACCAGAAUCCUCUUCCCCACGGUAGGUCCUAGAAACUAGAACCCUUUUUCCCCGAAGCAAAAGCCAUAAAAACUGGAAUUAUUACUCUAAACUCUCCUUGACUUUUUGUCCAGAAGAUGGCCAUAAAGAAAUUCUCAGCUAGGUGUGGUGGCUCGUAUCUGUAAUCCCAGCACUUUGAGAGGCCAAGGUGGGAGGAUCACUUGAGGCCAGGAGUUUGAGAUCGGCCUGGGCAACAUAGUAAGACCCCCAUCUCUACAAAACUUUUUUUUUUAAACUUACCUAAGCGUGGUGGUACACCUGUAGUCUCAGCUACUUAGGAGGCUGAGGUGGGAGGGACCCUGCUCUGGCUGUGACUGCUUUAUCACAGGGAGUGCCUAUCUGUGGGCUGCUUUCUACACAUUAAAGCAUUUUCAGAAAGGGCCAACAUCAGCCUUGGAAAAAAGGAGGAAGAGCCACGGAGAGUCUCCCUUUAUCUUCCCCUUAUGUGAUGUGAGAGUGCACAUGACUGUGUGCACAUACACACACACACACACACCACACACACACACCCCACAGGCACACAGGGUCAAGAACAUGCUGGGCAGAGCUUAAGCCACUGAAUGUUUCAGUAGGAAUCAUGAUAUCUAAAAAUAGGACAGCUGAUAAGGGGGUUCUUACUACUCACAGUUCCUGGAAUUAUAUGCAAUUGCAUCUUGGAAACUCAACAAAUAAACAGUUAGUAUGGAAUUAAGGAAUUAAGUUUGGUGAAGUUCAAAGAAGCUGAUGUUACUCACAAGAGUAAAUAGAGAGGAAACCGGGCGUGGUGGCUUCACGCCUGUAAUUCUAGCACUUUGGGAGGCCAAGACGAGCAGAUCACUUGAGGUAGAGAGUUUGAGACCAGCCUGGCCAACAUGAUGAAACCCUGUUCUCUACUAAAAAUACAAAAAUUAGCUGGGUGUGGUGGCAGGCACCUGCAAUCCCAGCUACAUGGGAGGCUGAGGCAGGAGAAUCGCUUGAACCCAGGAGACAGGGGUUGCAGUGAGCCAAGAUCACACCACUGCACUCCAGCCUGGGCGACAGAGCAAGACUCCCUCUCAGGAAAGAAAAAAAAAAAAAAAGUAAAUAGAGAGGAAAGCACAGGCCAGGGUAAAGAGCUCCAUGUAGGGCUGGGCGCGGU
rnacentral:lncRNA from 1 species